CCGAAAGGCAGGAGAGCCUGCAAGGGAGCGCGGAGACAGGUGGUGCAUGGCUGUCGUCAGCUCGUGUCGUGAGAUGUUGGGUUAAGUCCCGCAACGAGCGCAACCCUCACCUCUUGUUGCCAUCAGGUCAUGCUGGGCACUCUAGAGGAACUGCCCCGGUCAACGGGGAGGAAGGCGGGGAUGACGUCAAGUCAUCAUGCCCCUUACGUCCUGGGCUACACACGUGCUACAAUGGCCGGUACAAAGGGAUGCCACACCGCGAGGUAGAGCUAAACCCAAAAAGCCGGUCUAAGUUCGGAUUGGAGUCUGCAACUCGACUCCAUGAAGGAGGAAUCGCUAGUAACCGCGUAUCAGCACGACGCGGUGAAUACGUUCCCGGGCCUUGUACACACCGCCCGUCACACCACGAAAGCCAG
rnacentral:rRNA from 1 species